rnacentral:rRNA from 1 species
UACAACAUAGCGUUAAUGCAUCAAAUCCCAUUAGAACUCUGCAAUUAAGCGCGCUCAAGCAAGAGUAGUACUGGGAUGGGUGAUCUCCUGGGAAGUCCUACUGUUUUAC